rnacentral:rRNA from 1 species
UUAAGUUAGAAAGGGCGCACGGUGGAUGCCUUGACACUAGGAGUCGAUGAAGGACGGGACUAACGCCGAUAUGCUUCGGGGAGCUGUAAGUAAGCUUUGAUCCGAAGAUUUCCGAAUGGGGAAACCCACCAUACGUAAUGGUAUGGUAUCCUUAUCUGAAUACAUAGGGUAAGGAAGACAGACCCAGGGAACUGAAACAUCUAAGUACCUGGAGGAAGAGAAAGCAAAUGCGAUUUCCUGAGUAGCGGCGAGCGAAACGGAACAUAGCCCAAACCAAGAGGCUUGCCUCUUGGGGUUGUAGGACAUUCUAUACGGAGUUACAAAGGAACGAGGUAGACGAAGCGACCUGGAAAGGUCCGUCGUAGAGGGUAACAACCCCGUAGUCGAAACUUCGUUCUCUCUUGAAUGUAUCCUGAGUACGGCGGAACACGUGAAAUUCCGUCGGAAUCUGGGAGGACCAUCUCCUAAGGCUAAAUACUCCCUAGUGAUCGAUAGUGAACCAGUACCGUGAGGGAAAGGUGAAAAGCACCCCGGAAGGGGAGUGAAAGAGAUCCUGAAACCGUGUGCCUACAAAUAGUCAGAGCCCGUUAACGGGUGAUGGCGUGCCUUUUGUAGAAUGAACCGGCGAGUUACGAUCCCGUGCGAGGUUAAGCUGAAGAGGCGGAGCCGCAGCGAAAGCGAGUCUGAAUAGGGCGUUUAGUACGUGGUCGUAGACCCGAAACCAGGUGAUCUACCCAUGUCCAGGGUGAAGUUCAGGUAACACUGAAUGGAGGCCCGAACCCACGCACGUUGAAAAGUGCGGGGAUGAGGUGUGGGUAGCGGAGAAAUUCCAAUCGAACCUGGAGAUAGCUGGUUCUCCCCGAAAUAGCUUUAGGGCUAGCCUUAAGUGUAAGAGUCUUGGAGGUAGAGCACUGAUUGGACUAGGGGUCCUCAUCGGAUUACCGAAUUCAGUCAAACUCCGAAUGCCAAUGACUUAUCCUUAGGAGUCAGACUGCGAGUGAUAAGAUCCGUAGUCAAAAGGGAAACAGCCCAGACCGCCAGCUAAGGUCCCAAAGUGUGUAUUAAGUGGAAAAGGAUGUGGAGUUGCUUAGACAACUAGGAUGUUGGCUUAGAAGCAGCCACCAUUUAAAGAGUGCGUAAUAGCUCACUAGUCGAGUGACUCUGCGCCGAAAAUGUACCGGGGCUAAAUACACCACCGAAGCUGCGGAUUGAUACCAAUGGUAUCAGUGGUAGGGGAGCGUUCUAAGGACAGUGAAGUCAGACCGGAAGGACUGGUGGAGUGCUUAGAAGUGAGAAUGCCGGUAUGAGUAGCGAAAGACGGGUGAGAAUCCCGUCCACCGAAUGCCUAAGGUUUCCUGAGGAAGGCUCGUCCGCUCAGGGUUAGUCAGGACCUAAGCCGAGGCCGACAGGCGUAGGCGGUGGACAACAGGUUGAUAUUCCUGUACCACCUCUUUAUCGUUUGAGCAAUGGAGGGACGCAGAAGGAUAGAAGAAGCGUGCGAUUGGUUGUGCACGUCCAAGCAGUUAGGCUGAUAAGUAGGCAAAUCCGCUUAUCGUGAAGGCUGAGCUGUGAUGGGGAAGCUCCUUAUGGAGCGAAGUCUUUGAUUCCCCGCUGCCAAGAAAAGCUUCUAGCGAGAUAAAAGGUGCCUGUACCGCAAACCGACACAGGUAGGCGAGGAGAGAAUCCUAAGGUGUGCGAGAGAACUCUGGUUAAGGAACUCGGCAAAAUGACCCCGUAACUUCGGGAGAAGGGGUGCUUUCUUAACGGAAAGCCGCAGUGAAUAGGCCCAAGCGACUGUUUAGCAAAAACACAGCUCUCUGCGAAGCCGUAAGGCGAAGUAUAGGGGGUGACACCUGCCCGGUGCUGGAAGGUUAAGGAGAGGGGUUAGCGUAAGCGAAGCUCUGAACUGAAGCCCCAGUAAACGGCGGCCGUAACUAUAACGGUCCUAAGGUAGCGAAAUUCCUUGUCGGGUAAGUUCCGACCCGCACGAAAGGUGUAACGAUUUGGGCACUGUCUCAACCAGAGACUCGGUGAAAUUAUAGUACCUGUGAAGAUGCAGGUUACCCGCGACAGGACGGAAAGACCCCGUGGAGCUUUACUGUAGCCUGAUAUUGAAUUUUGGUACAGUUUGUACAGGAUAGGCGGGAGCCUUUGAAACCGGAGCGCUAGCUUCGGUGGAGGCGCUGGUGGGAUACCGCCCUGACUGUAUUGAAAUUCUAACCUACGGGUCUUAUCGACCCGGGAGACAGUGUCAGGUGGGCAGUUUGACUGGGGCGGUCGCCUCCUAAAGUGUAACGGAGGCGCCCAAAGGUUCCCUCAGAAUGGUUGGAAAUCAUUCGUAGAGUGCAAAGGCAUAAGGGAGCUUGACUGCGAGACCUACAAGUCGAGCAGGGACGAAAGUCGGGCUUAGUGAUCCGGUGGUUCCGCAUGGAAGGGCCAUCGCUCAACGGAUAAAAGCUACCCCGGGGAUAACAGGCUUAUCUCCCCCAAGAGUCCACAUCGACGGGGAGGUUUGGCACCUCGAUGUCGGCUCAUCGCAUCCUGGGGCUGUAGUCGGUCCCAAGGGUUGGGCUGUUCGCCCAUUAAAGCGGUACGCGAGCUGGGUUCAGAACGUCGUGAGACAGUUCGGUCCCUAUCCGUCGUGGGCGUAGGAAAUUUGAGAGGAGCUGUCCUUAGUACGAGAGGACCGGGAUGGACGCACCGCUGGUGUACCAGUUGUUCUGCCAAGGGCAUAGCUGGGUAGCUAUGUGCGGAAGGGAUAAGUGCUGAAAGCAUCUAAGCAUGAAGCCCCCCUCAAGAUGAGAUUUCCCAUAGCGUAAGCUAGUAAGAUCCCUGAAAGAUGAUCAGGUUGAUAGGUUCGAGGUGGAAGCAUGGUGACAUGUGGAGCUGACGAAUACUAAUAGAUCGAGGACUUAACCAU